GGGGGGGCCGUUGCAAAGGCUGACCCCAAGAACAUCAACACAACAACAGAACAUGUGUGUGUGUGUGUGUGUGUGUGUGUCCCCGCCCCUGUAAAGCCUCUUCCCUCGACCUUCUCCUGCCCUCCUGACCCUCACAUCCUCCUCAGUGCCGAUGAUGACCUGCCAACACGGGGCUGUGCAGGCCGAGAGGAGGAUGCACUGUGAGGGGUGUGACGAGUUCGUCCAUGCGCCGAUUUCGACUGUAUUCGUUGUGUCCCGAGGCAGCAGCGGGAGCCAGAGGGAGAGUGUGACGCAUCUCAAGGCACACCUUGGCCUGCACCUCGUCCCUCCCUGCAGGUGCAUGGUGCCCAACGGGGCGCUGCACCUCACCUGGGUCAACGCCCGGAGCAGACUGACGAGGGCAUCCACCAGUGCCUCCCUGGGUGUGGGCACCUUCAUCUCCACCCGCGCCAGGCUCACCAUUGUUGAGGAGCAAGACCCUGGCGGCGGGCACCCCCAGGCCCCCUCGGCUGCUGCACCACCAGCAACAACAGGUUCAUCACGCUGGCCUGGCAUGAGCCGGAGCUCAACACCGACCACACUGUGGGAUACUCAGUCGUCUACAAGCAGGAAGGAUCACUCAGAGAACGCGUCCAGAACGCGAGUGCAGCUCCUCCAGCGAGGGACUGAAUGAAUACAAGACCCAGAUCAGCGACCUAAGUCCCGGGAGUAACUACAUGGUGCGGGUGGCGGCCCACACCUCCGGCGGCCUGGUGGGCGCCUCCACACACGAGGUGCGGGUGUUCACCAAGCCGGACCUGGACCUGCCCUCCGCCCCAGAGUCUGAAAGUUGUCCCCACCUCACCCACCAGUCUGGAGGUCACUUGGUCGCCGCCCGGAGUGGCCAAAACGCCCAUCACUGGAUACGCCAUGCUCUAUACGCAGGUUGGGUCAGCAGAAGAACACGAGGUAGAGGUCACUGGCACGUCACAUGACCUCCAAGGCCUGGACCAGUUCACUGAGCACAGUGUGUGGCUCACCGCCGUCAACAGUAAUGGCGGGGGAGACGCCACCCUGGAGGUCACUGCCAGAACCUUCUCAGACAUGCCCUCAAAGGAGCCUCAGAAUGUGAGCGUUGAGGCUGCCAGCUCAAGGAGCCUCAUCAUCCACUGGGAGCCUCCACUGGCCGAGCACCAGAAUGGGAUCAUCACCAGCUGCAAGAUCCGCUACAAGGAGCGUGGCAAGUCAGGUUCCUCCAAGACCAGUGCCACAGAUGGAAACAGACGACUCUUUGCCCUCACAGACCUCGAGAAUCCCCUCCCAAGGUGUGCAGGACUUUAUAUUUCUCUUCAUUGUAGCCACAGACACUUUUUGUUCUCACUGUUCAUUUCCCAUUUCCUUCUGGUUCUCCUCCUAUUAGCCUCUCUUUCCUUUCCUUACUGUUCAUUUUGUUUUUCCUCCUGCUGUUACAAUUUCCCUGUUUGCCCUGCCAAAUAUUCUCCCGUCAUUCUCCUGCGUCUUACUUCUCUGCAUUUCCUGGUCUGCCUUCCUUCCUUCCUCUUAUACUUUACAUCUCCAUUUCUCCUCCUCCUUCUUUUCCAUGUUUCCCAUCUCUCAAGUUUCCUUUCCUUAUCCCAUUCUCCUCCUCCUCAAUGAUUUUGAUGUCGAUGGAACUUGGAUUUAUUCAUUUUGUUUCAUUUCAUCUCUCUCUCAGGGGGAAGACUUACACACAGUUAUUUUUUUACUUCAUUUAUUUAUUUCUUGAUACAUCUUAUUGUUCUCCUGAUCUCUCUCUCACACACACACUCUACUAACAGGGAGUUUAUGCCAAGGGUGGUGUCGCUUCAGAGAGGGAGAGAGUAAGGGGGAAGGGGUCUUACAUAUGUGUCUGGGGGGCAUGUAUCUGUGGGGUUUGUAAAAUUACUGUGGGGGACAUCCUGUGAGGCCUGUGAGCUGUGGUGAGGAGAGAGAGAGAGAGAGAGAGAGAGAGAGAGAGAGAGAGAGAGAGAGAGAGAGAGAGAGAGAGAGAGAGAGCAGUCAGCUUCCAGAGCACUAAGUAAAGGCAACCCACA